CUCAAUUUUGUAAAUGGUCGAACCAAGAUGUUUUCCCUAGGGGGCUCUAGCGCAGCUCUUAUCCCCUUCUUUUUUGAAGAGGCAGCACCAGCGCAUGCGCCCAUCGCUGGCUGCUCAUAGCGGCGUACCGCCGUCGACGAUAGCUUAAGCGGAGGGAAGAUGUACGUCACGGCGUCUCUCCCGGCCUCUACUGCCGAAUGGAUUUGGGGGAGCCUGCACAGCUCUGGCGGCCGCUUAGCCGCCCUCGGGACCGGGAUGCCAUCUCCGCCUUCAUCGCCGACCUCCGCUUGAUGGCCGUCCGCCUAUCGCCGCCACCACCGCCGCCUCCGCCCGAGCCUGGUUAGUCGUCUGUUUGCUCUCCGGCCUUGGCCCCGGCUGAGCCUGUCUCUUAUUUCGUGUGUGUUUUGGGCUUGUUGAGCUGUGCCCUCAGCAGUACCUCUGGAUUUAUUGUUGUGCGACUUGGGUGUGUGUGUUCUGAACUAGUCCUUGUAUGUGCUCUUGGUGGUUUGGUUUAUUUAUAAAGCGGGGCGAAAGCCUUUUUCGGUA